rnacentral:rRNA from 1 species
UACAGAGGGGGCGAGCGUUGUUCGGAAUUACUGGGCGUAAAGGGCGCGUAGGCGGCCUUCUAAGUCGAACGUGAAAUCCCCGGGCUCAACCCGGGAACUGCGUCCGAUACUGGGAGGCUUGAAUCCGGGAGAGGGAUGUGGAAUUCCAGGUGUAGCGGUGAAAUGCGUAGAUAUCUGGAGGAAUACCGGUGGCGAAGGCGGCAUCCUGGACCGACAUUGA